UGCUCUCUGCCCUGUUCGUGAGGCGCGAUGCCCACACGGAAUAUCUUUAGAUCGGGAUCUCUUCAGGACGGUUGUGAGCAAGCCCAUCCUCUGGAAUGGGAAGCCUGAUACCCUCACAAGAGGCCCCACCUCGUUGGUCUUCGCUGUGAGGCCAACUGCCCACGGCAAGAGUGGAGAGCUU
rnacentral:other from 1 species